AGACCCGAAACCCGGUGAUCUAGCCAUGGGCAGGUUGAAGGUUGGGUAACACUAACUGGAGGACCGAACCGACUAAUGUUGAAAAAUUAGCGGAUGACCUGUGGCUGGGGGUGAAAGGCCAAUCAAACCGGGAGAUAGCUGGUUCUCCCCGAAAGCUAUUUAGGUAGCGCCUCGUGAAUUCAUCUCCGGGGGUAGAGCACUGUUUCGGCUAGGGGGCCAUCCCGGCUUACCAACCCGAUGCAAACUGCGAAUACCGGAGAAUGUUAUCACGGGAGACACACGGCGGGUGCUAACGUCCGUCGUGAAGAGGGAAACAACCCAGACCGCCAGCUAAGGUCCCAAAGUCAUGGUUAAGUGGGAAACGAUGUGGGAAGGCCCAGACAGCCAGGAUGUUGGCUUAGAAGCAGCCAUCAUUUAAAGAAAGCGUAAUAGCUCACUGGUCGAGUCGGCCUGCGCGGAAGAUGUAACGGGGCUAAACCAUGCACCGAAGCUGCGGCAGCGAACGUAUCACCCAAGACAACUUUACGGAGUUGGCGAUUGACGGAGCGAAGCGACGUCAAAGCGUUCAUUAAAGUCGAGUUGGCUUAGGGAUACGUUCGUUGGGUAGGGGAGCGUUCUGUAAGCCUGUGAAGGUGUGUCGUGAGGCAUGCUGGAGGUAUCAGAAGUGCGAAUGCUGACAUAAGUAACGAUAAAGCGGGUGAAAAGCCCGCUCGCCGGAAGACCAAGGGUUCCUGUCCAACGUUAAUCGGGGCAGGGUGAGUCGACCCCUAAGGCGAGGCCGAAAGGCGUAGUCGAUGGGAAACGGGUUAAUAUUCCCGUACUUGGUGUUACUGCGAAGGGGGGACGGAGAAGGCUAUGUUGGCCGGGCGACGGUUGUCCCGGUUUAAGCGUGUAGGUGUGUGUUCCAGGUAAAUCCGGUUCACUUUAACACUGAGGCGUGACGACGAGGCACUACGGUGCUGAAGCAACAAAUGCCCUGCUUCCAGGAAAAGCCUCUAAGCAUCAGGUAACACGAAAUCGUACCCCAAACCGACACAGGUGGUCAGGUAGAGAAUACCAAGGCGCUUGAGAGAACUCGGGUGAAGGAACUAGGCAAAAUGGUGCCGUAACUUCGGGAGAA
rnacentral:rRNA from 1 species